AGAAUCAACGCUGGCGGCGUGCCUAACACAUGCAAGUCGUACGAGAAAGUGGGGGCAACUCCAUUAGUAAAGUGGCAGACGGGUGAGUAACACGUGAACAACCUACCCUCGAGUGGGGAAUAACACCGCGAAAGCGGUGCUAAUACCACAUAACAUUUUUGGGUCGCAUGACCUGAAGAUCAAGAGCGCAAGCUGCUUGAGGAGGGGUUCGCGCCUGAUUAGCUAGUUGGUGAGGUAACGGCCCACCAAGGCAACGAUCAGUAGCCGGCCUGAGAGGGCGAACGGCCACACUGGAACUGAGACACGGUCCAGACUCCUACGGGAGGCAGCAGUGGGGAAUUUUGCGCAAUGGGCGAAAGCCUGACGCAGCAACGCCGCGUGGAGGAUGAAGGCCUUCGGGUCGUAAACUCCUGUCAGUGGGGACGAAUGCUUCGCAAGAGGUUUGACUGUACCCGCUGAGGAAGCCACGGCUAACUCCGUGCCAGCAGCCGCGGUAAUACGGAGGUGGCAAGCGUUGUUCGGAAUUACUGGGCGUAAAGGGCGCGUAGGCGGCUUGGCAAGUCAGAUGUGAAAGCCCCGGGCUUAACUCGGGAAUUGCAUCUGAAACUGCUUUGCUUGAGUCCUGGAGGGGGUAGUGGAAUUCCCAGUGUAGCGGUGAAAUGCGUAGAUAUUGGGAGGAACACCUGCGGCGAAGGCGGCUACCUGGACAGUGACUGACGCUGAGGCGCGAAAGCUAGGGGAGCGAACGGGAUUAGAUACCCCGGUAGUCCUAGCCGUAAACGAUGGGCACUUGGUGUUGGGGGUAUUGAGUCCCUCGGUGCCGGAGUUAACACGUUAAGUGCCCCGCCUGGGGAGUACGGUCGC
rnacentral:rRNA from 1 species